rnacentral:rRNA from 1 species
CCCUUAGAUGUUCUGGGCUGCACGCGCGCUGCACUGAUGCACUCAACGAGUUUACGACCUUGCCCGAUAGGGUUGGGUAAUCUUUUUAAAAUGCAUCGUGAUGGGGAUAGAUUAUUGCAAUUAUUAAUCUUCAACGAGGAAUUCCUAGUAAGCGCGAGUCAUCAGCUCGUGCUGAUUACGUCCCUGCCCUUUGUACACACCGCCCGUCGCUCCUACCGAUUGAGUGCUCAGGUGAAUAAUUCGGACUGCAGCAAUGUUUGGAUCCCGAACGUUGCAGCGGAAAGUUUAGUGAACCUUAUCACUUAGAGGAAGGAGAAGUCGUAACA